rnacentral:tRNA from 1 species
CAAAAGAUAAUUUAAUAAAAAAAUGCUGACUUUGGGGGCCAGCUUUGGUUUGAACAACCUCUUUUGA